rnacentral:lncRNA from 1 species
GAUUGAAAGUUCCAUAUACUAGUAGUACAGAUACUACUAAUUAGCUUACAAAACACGAACAAGGGGAGUGGACUAACUUAGCUAACACGCACCCUCCUCCCUCCACAUCAUCCAACACCAUGGAGUCCAUGAGAAUCUACCAAGUCGCAGAGGCCAGACAGAGAGCCGAAAUAGUCUCGCAAGGACACACACACACUCACACCAGGGUAAACUUAACCAGGGAAAGAAAGAAUCGCAAAGGAAACCGAAGACAAGCCGCCAAAUAAUUCCACAGCCGAUCUCGCCUUCUUCUUCCUCCUGCCCUCCCGUCGCCCCUCGCCACUUGCUACGUACGUACGGUCGCUCUCGUCCCCGCGAGCUUGGGCCCUGCUCCUCACUUGUACUCCAGGAUCAUGUUGUUCUCGGGCGCCAGGCCGACGCACGCCCUCAUGAUGUUCUCCAGCAUGGCCCUCUGCUUCGCCAGGGCGUUCACCACCGGCGUGCCAGGAGGAACCUGUUAACAGAGGAAUCCGUUGCACGUCAGUUAAUCUGCUUUAUUUGUUUCUAGGUUAAUCAGAGUAGACAGUCGGCAGUUGUUUCUUACAAGGGGUGCCUUGGUGAGGUAGCUCAGGAUGGUGGCAACCGGAUGGAAGGAGUGGAACUUGUCCUGCACAGAUGCAAGUGGAAUAAAGAUGGCUUCAGUUUGGCUCCCAAAGUAUAUCUCCACUGCAGAGUAGACUAGCAACAUAUCUGGUCAGACUCUUACCUCUCCCUCGGCCUUCAGCUGAAUCCUGGUGCUGAGCUCGGCCAGGAGCACCAGAUCAAGAAUGAUCGGUGCGGCGAGGAGCGAAUCCUCGCAGGUGUUGUGGAGCACGAUGGUGCUCUUGCCGCCCAUGAAGAUCUCCGAGGUGUACUCGUCCAUGGCCCUCUUGCUGUCUCCAACGUAUGGCACAUACUGCAAAACAACGGUGAAGCUUCAGUAUAUAAUUCCAGGUUUUUGCACCAACAGUGAAUGUGUCCGUAGAAGGUGACAGACAGAUCAAGACAGACCUUGAUCACGACGACGUGGUCAGGAUGUUCCCCGGGCUCGUAGAGGAUAGCAUUGCUCGAGACCAUGUCAUCCACCACGUUACUCUUGGAGAUCUCCUUGGAACGGAAUGUCUGCGGCGCAGAUAGGUUCAUCCCAUCGUUGUUCCCCAGAUGGUUGUAGCUGACAAUUGAGGUGGGCUACAAGAACAGAAAUCAAACAACUUGUGAUAUGUUUAGGCUUCCAUAACAGAGAAAUGUCUGUCUUUACAUUAUAUAAAGUACAUGAAGAGUAGUCAAGACUCAAGGGUUCAGUUGACAGUUGAUUGAUACCUUGAUUCCAGCACCAACAAGGAAAUCCACCAAGACAGAUUUCAUCUUGGUCUGGCCACUCUUGAAAUCAUCGCCACCAAUCAGGCAGUUGUUCUUAAUAGCAAGAUCGAUCAGCCCUGCACAAAAGAAACUAGCAUAAGCCUGUAACCAGACACUAUAUACAAGUACAGUCAGCAGAGCAAGCUACACACCAGGCACAAAGGUGUUCUGAGGGCUCCCGUUGAUGAAUGGCACACCCUCCAUGACGCAGGCGAUGGCAUACAGUGUUGACGGAGAUAUCUCUGCCUCGUUCUUGUCCACAGACGCCAAGAGGUUCUCCAUCGUGUCAUUAAGCCCAACAGAGACGUUGCUGUACCUUUCAGUGUUUGCCGUCCAAAGCACCACUACCUUGUCCACCUUGUUCUUCUCCUUGAACUCCCUAUUUCAUUAAGCCAUAUAAGGGCGCAAAUUUAAAAGUUGAUGAAGUUUUCAGCAUGGAAUGUCGAAACUAACAAGGACUGUUGGAGUAACAUUUUGAUGAGUAACUCAGCUUAAAAUUUAAUUUCAGUAGAACGACCCUUUGUGGAGUCCACCAAUCAUACAAAAGCCAGUGGCUAUAGAGAAUUUGUCCAAUCAUACAAAAGCCACUGGCUGUAGAGAAUUAUGCAGUGUUAUUGUUUUAAGCAUAUUCGCAGUGGUUAUAGAGAAUUAUCCAUAUUCAAUCAUGUGUGCUCGCGCACCAAACUCAGAGUACUCUUUUUUUUUAUUCUACUCUUAAGUGCUGGAAUAUAGAGUAUGUCAAGUUGUAUACGUGCAUAUCUGUAUACCUUAUGUCUUUGAUAAUCUGCUCCAUCUGCUCUUUCUUUGUGCCCUUGAUGACAUUGUUAGCCCGGGAGCCCUGGUUGGCAGCGAUGAAGUCCGGGUCAUAGAUGCCGGGGAGUGGCACGAUGGACUCCAUGUAGGGCCUGAGCUGCUUCUGCAGGUCAAUGUCCAGCACCUUGGCCCUGGUCAUAGCAUCAGCCAGGUUCAUGCUGCUAAUGUCCCAGCCCCCAAACACAAGGUCAUCUGGGUUUACCUGAAAAAUCAUUCUAACACCGUCAGCACAGGAUCUGCAACCAACUGCAAGUCUGGAACAUAUACAGUCAACAGAGCCCACAGCAUUUUGACCGGUACAAUGACAACAUCAUGGCACAUAUCCACAAUUUUCUUUACUAUAAAAGUGGUUCACUGUCAUCAUUUUUUGCAUGACUUAGCUGCCCUUCAACCAACAUUAAAUCAGAACAUGCAGCAUCAAAUUGGAACCGGAGGCAGUGUUUUUCACAUAGCAAUAUCUUUUUGAUGUUGGUAUUACCAUGGGCAGGAGGCUCUUGAAGGGCGCAUAGAUCUCCUCUCCGUUGUAGCUCCCGACCCUGAUGGUGGAGGCCUGGGUGAGGGACCCAAAGUAGUUGGCCUGCUGCACCUUGUCCUUGGUCGCCCAUG